GGGCGUCUAGCUCAGUUGGUAGAGCGCGUCAUUAGCAGUGGUUAGUUGACGAGGUCUUUGGUUCGAUUCCUAAGUCGUCCA
rfam:Trichosporon asahii var. asahii CBS 8904 unplaced genomic scaffold scaffold00105, whole genome shotgun sequence.